GGACUACUGGGGUUUCUAAUCCGGUUCGCUCCCCACGCUUUCGUGCCUCAGUGUCAGAAAUGGUCCAGUUACCUGCCUACGCCAUUGGUGUUCCUUCUAAUAUCUACGGAUUUCACUCCUACACUAGAAAUUCCAGUAACCUCUACCAUUCUCGAGUUAUGCAGUUUGAAUAAUAGCCUGUACGGUUGAGCCGCCAGAUUUCACUAUUCACUUACAUAACCACCUACGCAACUCUUUACGCCCAGUCACUCCGGAUAACGCUUGGGUCCUACGUAUUACCGCGGCUGCUGGCA
rnacentral:misc_RNA from 1 species